AACGAACGCUGGCGGCAGGCUUAACACAUGCAAGUCGAACGCCCCGCAAGGGGAGUGGCAGACGGGUGAGUAACGCGUGGGAAUCUACCGUGCCCUGCGGAAUAGCUCCGGGAAACUGGAAUUAAUACCGCAUACGCCCUACGGGGGAAAGAUUUAUCGGGGUAUGAUGAGCCCGCGUUGGGUUAGCUAGUUGGUGGGGUAAAGGCCUACCAAGGCGACGAUCCAUAGCUGGUCUGAGAGGAUGAUCAGCCACAUUGGGACUGAGACACGGCCCAAACUCCUACGGGAGGCAGCAGUGGGGAAUAUUGGACAAUGGGCGCGAGCCUGAUCCAGCCAUGCCGCGUGAGUGAUGAAGGCCUUAGGGUUGUAAAGCUCUUUCACCGAUGAAGAUAAUGACGGUAGUCGGAGAAGAAGCCCCGGCUAACUUCGUGCCAGCCGCCGCAGUAA
rnacentral:rRNA from 1 species